rnacentral:rRNA from 1 species
AUGGCGGCGAAGGUGCUCCAGCUCCGUAGCUCCGACGGCAAGGUGCUCGUCGCUCCGGCGUGGGACUAUCGCCCGACCGCCACCCAAGCCCUCCCGCUGAAGAUGCGGGUGCCCUCGCGCGUCCUCGAGAGGGUGCUUGAGUACUGGACCAAGCACAGCCUGGCCAAGGCCACCAGUGAGUCCCGGGAGUCCCUCGCCCGCUGGGACGCCGACUUCCAGCGCCGUCUCGAGGAAGACGGCCUCGCCAAGGAGGCCGCUGCAGCCGCCCAAGAACUCCGCCGCUACGUCGACCAUGGAGGGCGUCCCCAUCGCCACGCCGCCACGGCCGCGUCUCAUGUCGCUGCUCCUGCCAAGGCGGCCCGUGCUGAUCCCGUCCGUGCCUGGUGCCCACUUGUUCACCACCUCAAGGGUGUCAACCAAGGAGAACGCAGCCCUGCGCCGGCGAUUCCCGGCUCCUUCGAUGCCUCUGAUAUUGCCUCCGCCGCGCGCCCUGGGCCUGCCACCACCUUGCCGGCUGCUGCUGGUGCUGACCCCGUGGAUGUCCGGUGCGCGAUCCGUGCCCGUGGACGCCAGAUGGCUGAAGACGAGGAGUCCGCUUGCCACCACCGCAAGCGCCCGGCUUCCAAGGCUCCACUCUGCCUGCCUGCCACUGCUGUUGCGCCCGUGAAGAAGGUCUCUUGUCCCGUCGCUUCCAAGGCCCGCUCUUUCGUCGGCUCUACACCAUUGCCUGUCAUUGCUGCUGCGCCCAGCGUGAAGAAGGCGACUCCAGCUUCAACUCUGCGCGCAAGAAGGGGGAUGGGGGAGCUCAGCUGCAAGAUUCCGAAGCAAAACCGUGUCACCGCUGCAGCACCAAGGAAGCAACCAAUUCCUUGGGUGCGUCCAGUGGUAUUACGCCCUUGCUAG